rnacentral:lncRNA from 1 species
CUGGAAAAGGGUUCGAAACUUUGGAGUUGAAACAUGAUUUUAAGAGUUCUUGUGCAUCAAUUGGAGUGAGAUCCUGCGUUCCAGUGGCUAGAUUCAAGGAGUUCAACAACAUGGGAGCAAAUCUUGUGGAGUUGGAGCUUGGAUCCUUGCUUGUCACCAUGAGGAAAUAAAUCCUCAUAGAGGUUGGAUCUAGAAUAUGAACUAAACUGAUGUAAUCUCAUGUAAUUCCUCAUAUUUGUAUUGAAUCUCUCUUGUAUAAGUGUUAUUCAAUGAAUUUCAGUUCUUAAUGCUUUACAAUUUCUGAUCAACUUUGCAAUGAUUUUAGAUUUUGAUUAUGUAUGAGAAUAUGAGUUAAAA